GUUAAGGUGGCAGAGCCCGGUACUGCAAAAGACCUAAGUCCUUUCAACAGGGGUUCAAAUCCCCUCCUUAACU
rnacentral:tRNA from 1 species